rnacentral:rRNA from 1 species
UAGUCCACGCCGUAAACGAUGUCAACUAGCCGUCGGGCUCAUUAUAAGGGUUUGGUGGCGAAGCUAACGCGAUAAGUUGACCGCCUGGGGAGUACGCCGGCAACGGUAAAACUCAAAGGAAUUGACGGGGGCCCGCACAAGCGGUGGAGCAUGUGGCUUAAUUCGAAGCAACGCGCAGAACCUUACCAACCCUUGACAUUUGUCGCUAAAUCCAGAGAUGGAUCGUUCCCUUCGGGGACGGCAGGACAGGUGCUGCAUGGCUGUCGUCAGCUCGUGUCGUGAGGUGUUCGGUUAAGUCCGGCAACGAGCGCAACCCACAUCUUUAGUUGCCAGCAUUUAGUUGGGCACUCUAAAGAAACUGCCCGUGAUAAGCGGGAGGAAGGUGUGGAUGACGUCAAGUCCUCAUGGCCCUUACGGGUUGGGCUACACACGUGCUACAAUGGUAGUGACAGUGAGUUAAUCUCCAAAAACUAUCUCAGUUUCGGAUUGUCGUCUGCAACUCGACGGCAUGAAGUCGGAA